rnacentral:rRNA from 1 species
UGCAGUCGACGAAGCCUUUGGGCUUAGUGGCGCACGGGUGCGUAACGCGUGGGAAUCUGCCCUUGGGUUCGGAAUAACAGUUAGAAAUGACUGCUAAUACCGGAUGAUGUCUUCGGACCAAAGAUUUAUCGCCCAAGGAUGAGCCCGCGUCGGAUUAGCUAGUUGGUGAGGUAAAGGCUCACCAAGGCGACGAUCCGUAGCUGGUCUGAGAGGAUGAUCAGCCACACUGGGACUGAGACACGGCCCANACUCCUACGGGAGGCAGCAGUGGGGAAUAUUGGACAAUGGGCGAAAGCCUGAUCCAGCAAUGCCGCGUGAGUGAUGAAGGCCUUAGGGUUGUAAAGCUCUUUUACCCGGGAUGAUAAUGACAGUACCGGGAGAAUAAGCCCCGGCUAACUCCGUGCCAGCAGCCGCGGUAAUACGGAGGGGGCUAGCGUUGUUCGGAAUUACUGGGCGUAAAGCGCACGUAGGCGGCUUUGUAAGUUAGGGGUGAAAGCCCAGAGCUCAACUCUGGAACUGCCCUUAAGACUGCAUCGCUUGAAUCAUGGAGAGGUUAGUGGAAUUCCGAGUGUAGAGGUGAAAUUCGUAGAUAUUCGGAAGAACACCAGUGGCGA